AAAGGAAUUGACGGGGACCCGCACAAGCGGUGGAGCAUGUGGUUUAAUUCGAAGAUACGCGAAAAACCUUACCUGGCCUUGAUAUCCCAAGAAUCUCUUAGAGAUAAGAGAGUGCUAGCUUGCUAGAACUUGGUGACAGGUGCUGCACGGCUGUCGUCAGCUCGUGUCGUGAGAUGUUGGGUUAAGUCCCGCAACGAGCGCAACCCUCGUGUUUAGUUGCUAACGGUUAGGCCGAGCACUCUAAACAGACUGCCUACGCAAGUAGGAGGAAGGUGAGGACGACGUCAAGUCAUCAUGGCCCUUAUGGCCAGGGCUACACACGUGCUACAAUGGGUAGGACAGUAAGAUGCAAUACCGCAAGGUGGAGCAAAUCUACAAACCUACUCUCAGUUCGGAUUGUUCUCUGCAACUCGAGAGCAUGAAGCUGGAAUCGCUAGUAAUCGUAGAUCAGAACUGCUACGGUGAAUACGUUCCCGGGUCUUGUACACACCGCCCGU
rnacentral:rRNA from 1 species